UCUCGGGAAGAAUGUUGCAGGCCAUUAGUGACCUGAAAACGAGCUUCAUCAGAUAUGCCAUACUGCUCCAAUGGAUCCUGCGGGGAUGGCGGCCAGCCAAGGGUGAAGCCCGCCUCUCGCCCAAGGUCAUCUGGAAAACCCGCCAGCUCACCAGUGACCCAAACAAUUUUACAGUAAUGGGAAACAGUGCAUAACAGGCAGACAUUAAAAUGUCAAAUGAUUACCACUCA